rnacentral:misc_RNA from 1 species
AAAGCUCUAUUUCCCACAAAAUCUCUGCAAACAAUUUUUUUAUUCAAUCAACUUCAAAAUACACCUUUGCAUCAUCAAUUUCAUCCACUUCUACUCAAUAGGUUGCCCAAAAUUCAAUCUCUUACACCACUAUCAUUUACAUCCAACUCUAUUGGUCUUUCUUUCAAAUUAGAAUUGAAGGGAAAGAACAUCUAGGGGUCAGAAACAAAGUUGACGUUUUGGGCUUUUGCAGAAAGUUUAGCGAUAGAGGAUAGGAGACACAGAAUUGAGGGUUUGGUAAGAGAGAAAGGAGCAUACUGAGAAACGAAAAAUGUGAUAGAUGGAUCGGGAAUUGGAGCACGAUGGUGAGAAAAAUUUGUGGAUAUAUUUAUGGUUUACAGAGAUUAGGAUAGGUUUAGGGUUUUGAAGAGGACAAGAGAAGAAGCAAAGGUUGGGAUAUUUUGGAAAAUGAAUUCAGAGAGAAAGGAAGAACUCCGAACCUAGAAGGAGAAUUUCAAUUCUCAUUUCAGAUUUUGGAUUUCUCAUUUCAGAUUUUGGGUUUCUUCAAGCUGAGGUUGAUAUGUAACACAGCUUUGAAAGAAGAAAAGGGGGGUACUUUCGGUCAUGUGGGCCCCUCAAUCAAGUAGACCUUUCAUUAGCAGCUUGUCCUGUAAAAAAUAGUGUAAAAAUGCCAUGCCAGCAAAUCCAAACCAGAAAACAGGUUAUAUUUUUUCAUUAAGUACUUUAAUGGAACGAAAAAUUCUUCAGUGAUCAUAAUGAAACUUAGUGAAAGGUCUAGUGAUCACAAGUAAAAUUAGCCCACAAAAAGCCUAUUUAACUCAAGCAAUCAACAAAAUAAUAUUCGUAUGUUGAAAG